CUCUAGUUUAAAUUAAAGCUUCUCAUUUGAUCCAUGGACUAGGUAUCUUUACUGCUGGAUUCUAUUACUCCUGUGUAAGAUGUAACAAUACAUUUAUUUCUCAAUACAGGUAUACUGUGGCUGGUGACUUGCUGGUCCCAAUGCCAAAGCCUGCUUUAUGGAGUCCAUGCAAGAUGAUUAAUGUGUAGAGCUGACCAUCAGUGUAAGUACAACUUCUAGUCUGAUCUGACUUGGUUGAAUGUAAUGUUCACUAAGGUAAUGCACUUCCUUUGCUGGGGUUAAAGCCCCUGGUGCAGCAAUGUUCCAUAGGCUUCUUGAUGUCUGGGCAUGAGACAUGGUACUGAGGGAUGAUGACAUAAAAGGCCGAAUUACAGAGCCUCUCCAAGCAGUUCUCUCUGUGGAAGAGGCUCGAUGACAAAACUCCUUGAAGCGAACUCAAAACUGACCUCAACCAAACAUGUCUUAAACUCUCUUACAGAGUACCAAUAACUGUGUGAAUGCCGCUAACAUAGAACCCUUAAUGCAGGCUAUCCCUGUUACACUUCUGUCCCUUUAAAUGACUGGCUGUAUCCCGGUUAUCUGUAAAAUGAAUGGUUAAAUGGGCCUAGAACUGCUUUAUAUAACUAGCUUGCACAUAGCUCCUGCUACAUUUCCAAACUUCUCUUGUAUUUCUGUCCUCACUAAACUUGGCUUAGUGCAAUCUGGUGCGCAUGCAUGGCUUCGCUCUGCACCAAUUGCAUUCUUUAUAGAGCUGCAUUGGAUGCCGCCCUAUGAAUGAACUCUGCGCCUCUACCGCGCAGAAUGCGCAUUCGCGAGCUGAGCUGUCUAACUGACAGCUCAGCUUGCUUUCUAUACCUGCCCCCCUCCUCAACCAAACGGUGUUUGCAUAGAAACACUAGAUAUCUAUAUCGUUAUAAAUUAAAGACAUACACACACUCUCCAUCCAUAUCCUCACCCACUAAACAAGUUUACUUACAGAUUGGAUCCUCCACUCUUCAGUCUUCAGCCUGUCUGCUCAAGCCACUCCACGCAGUGCUGACAGCCUCAGCACACAAAGUGUAUUCCCAGUGCUUUGUGUGAUGAUGGCACGUCUGAAGUAUUCACCCACGCGUGAAU